rnacentral:lncRNA from 1 species
AUCGGACGGCCCGGAUGCGUUUCCACUCGCGUAGUCCAGAUUUAUUAUCUCUUUAAACCCAAUCGUAUGGUCCAGAUCAAAUCGCGAUGAAUGGUUCAGAUUCAUCUUCUCUUUAAAUGAGAUCAGACGGUUGAUAUCAAACGCGAUGAACAGCCCAAAUUUAAGAGAGACAGGUAUAAAUAUCUCAUUUCACACCAAACCUAAACCCUAGCUGCCAAACCCCCGCU